CGCCGCCGCCGCCGCCGGGCCUGCCCUCCUCUUCGCUCCGCCCCCGCCCCUCUCGCUUUGGCACCGCAGCCUCCGCCCCCCACCCUCGGUUCCUCGCGGCGGCGUCUCUGCCUUCGGCCGUGGAAGAUGGCGCUGAGCGGCCAGAGUUUGGCAGAGUUAGAAGUUCUUUGUAAACAACUCUAUGAGGGGACUGAUCUAGCACAGCGAAUACAAGCAGAAAAGGUGCUGUUGGAGCUUAUUAACAGUCCUGAAUGUCUUAGCCAAUGUCAGCUUUUAUUGGAACAAGGAACAACAUCCUAUGCGCAACUUUUAGCAGCAACAUGCCUCUCUAAACUUGUAUGCAAAACAACCCCUUUACCUAUUCAGCAAAGAAUAGACAUCAGAAACUACAUUUUAAACUAUGUAGCAUCUCAACCCAAACUGACCCUUUUUGUGAUCCAAGCUCUUGUUCAAGUAAUUGCUAAAAUCACAAAGUUGGGGUGGUUUGAUGUUCAAAAAGACCAGCUCAUCUUUAGAGACAUUAUUGCUGAUGUUAAAAAGUUCUUACAGGGGACUGUGGACCACUGCAUAAUAGGAGUGAUGAUUCUUUCAGAAUUGACUCAGGAAAUGAACUUUGUUGAUUAUUCUAGACCUUCAUCAAAGCAUCGUAAAAUAGCUACCUCAUUCCGUGACACCGCUUUGAAAGAAAUUUUGAUGCUGGCAUGUUCUCUGCUGAAAGAGAUGUUGGCAAAGCCAUUAAAUCUUCAGGAUCAGCAACAACAAAAUCUAGCAAUGCACCUUUUGAAACUUGUCCUCAAUUGUCUUAACUUUGACUUCAUUGGCAGUUCAGCAGAUGAAUCUGCAGAUGAUCUAUGCACUGUACAGAUUCCAACAAACUGGAGAUCAAUCUUCCUGGAGCCAGAGACCUUGGACCUCUUUUUCGAUUUGUAUCAUUCCCUCCCAUCAAUGCUAUCUCAGUUAGCACUUUCUUGUUUAGUUCAGUUUGCUUCUACAAGAAGAUCCUUAUUUAGCAACCCAGAACGUGCCAAGUAUCUUGGUAAUCUCAUCAAAGGAGUAAAAAGAAUACUUGAAAAUCCUCAGGGUUUAGCUGACCCUGGUAAUUAUCAUGAAUUCUGUCGAUUUUUGGCUCGAUUGAAAACUAAUUAUCAGUUGGGGGAGCUAGUAGUUGUGAAAGAUUAUCCUGAAGUUAUUAGACUGAUAGCCAGUUUCACUAUUACGAGCUUACAGCAUUGGGAAUUUGCACCAAACAGCGUUCAUUAUUUGCUAACUCUUUGGCAGAGAAUGGUUGCCUCGGUGCCUUUUGUAAAAUCAUCAGAACCCCAUCUCUUGGAUACAUAUGCACCUGAGAUCACAAAGGCAUAUAUUACUUCUAGACUGGAAUCUGUCCCCAUGGUUAUAAGAGACGGUUUAGAUGAUCCUUUGGAUGAUACAGCCACAGUAUUUCAGCAAUUGGAGCAGCUAUGCACAGUUAGCAGAUGUGAAUAUGAAAAGACCUGUGCUCUUCUUGUACAGUUGUUUGACCAAAAUGCACAAAACUAUCAGAAGCUGUUGCAGUCUUCGAGUAGAAACCCCCUGGCAGUCUCAAUUCAAGAAGGACGCUUGGCAUGGCUUGUGUAUCUUGUUGGGACUGUUGUAGGAGGAAGAUUAACUUAUACUAGUACUGAUGAACACGAUGCUAUGGAUGGUGAAUUAUCCUGUCGAGUCUUUCAGCUAAUUUCUUUGAUGGAUGCCCAGUUACCACGCUGUAGUAAUGAGAAAGUAGAACUUGCAGUACUCUGGUUUUUGGAUCAGUUCCGUAAAACGUAUGUAGGGGAUCAACUCCAACGCACCUCAAAGGUUUAUGCCCGAAUGUCAGAAGUCUUGGGAAUAACAGAUGACAACCAAGUUCUAGAAACAUUCAUGGCAAAAAUUGUUACAAAUCUUAAAUACUGGGGACGGAGUGAACCUGUGAUUUCCAGAACUCUUCAGUUUCUAAAUGAUCUUUCUGUUGGUUAUAUUCUCCUUAAAAAGCUUGUAAAAAUAGAUGCUGUGAAAUUCAUGCUUCAAAAUCAUACGAGUAAACACUUUCCAUUUUUGGGUGUCAAUGAUAAUCACUGUCUGAGUGACCUUAGGUGCAGAACAACAUUCUAUACUGCUCUCACACGCCUCCUCAUGGUAGAUCUAGGAGAAGACGAGGAUGAGUUUGAGAACUUCAUGCUUCCCCUGACAAUUUCAUUUGAAACUUUAGGCCAGAUAUUUAACAACAGCUUUAAACAAGAGGAAGCAAAGCGUAUGUUGAUCGGACUGGCAAGAGAUCUUCGAGGGAUUGCCUUUGCAUUGAACACAAAGACCAGCUACACCAUGCUGUUUGACUGGAUAUACUCAGCGUAUCUUCCCAUUCUUCAAACGGCUAUUGAGCUGUGGUACCGUGAACCAGCAUGUACGACUCCUAUCUUGAAGCUUAUGGCCGAGAUGAUGCAGAACAGAUCACAGCGUUUAAAUUUUGAUGUGUCCUCUCCAAAUGGCAUUCUGCUCUUCAGGGAGGCUAGUAAGAUGAUUUGUACUUAUGGUAAUCAGAUCCUAUCCCUUGGGACUCUGUCAAAAGAUCAAGUUUAUCCAUUGAAACUCAAGGGUAUUUCCAUCUGUUAUUCUGCACUCAAAUCUGCCUUGUGUGGAAAUUAUGUCAGCUUUGGAGUCUUCAAGUUGUAUGGGGACAACCACUUUGACAAUGUACUUCAGGCCUUUGUCAAAAUGCUGCUCUCAGUAUCCCACAGUGAUUUGCUACAAUAUAGAAAACUAAGCCAGUCUUACUAUCCACUCCUGGAAUGUCUCACCCAGGACCACAUGAGUUUCAUCACCAGUCUAGAGCCUCAUGUACUAAUGUAUAUAUUUACAUCAAUAUCUGAAGGACUUACUGCACUGGAUACAAUAGUCUCUUCCAGUUGUUGUGCUAGUUUAGACUACAUUGUCACCUACCUCUUCAAGCACAUAGCAAAAGAAGGCAAGAAGCCCUUAAGAUGUAGAGAGAUUUCUCAGGAUGGGCAAAGAUUACUACGCUUCAUGCAACAGAAUUCGGAGGUGCUGCAGCAGGCUGCAGUCCAGACAGAACAUGGUGAAACAAACUGGUUCCAGAUCGGCAAAGGUGUAAGACAAGGCUGUAUACUUUCUCCUUCUUUAUUCAACUUAUAUGCUGAACAUAUACUGAGAGAAGCUGGAGUGGAAGAAGAUGAGCGUGGUUUUAAAGUUGGAGGAAGAAACAUCAAUAACCUGCGCUAUGCUGAUGACACCACUCUGAUAGCUGAGAAUGUGGAUGAUCUGCAAGCUCUAAUAAUGAAAGUCAAGGAGCACAGUGAAAAAAUGGGACUUCAACUAAAUGUCAAGAAGACUAAACUAAUGACAACGGGUACAGCAACCAGCCUCAGCCUCAGAAUUGAUAAUGAAGACAUUUAAGUGGUGGAUAGCAUCUGCCUUUUAGGAUCGACCAUCAACACUAAAGGAUCCAGCAGUCGAGAAAUAUGACGCAGACUAGCACUUGGUAGGGUUGCAAUGAAAACCUUGGAAAGGAUAUUUAGAUGCCGUGACAUGUCUAUCCCUACAAAGAUUAGAAUUAUUCAGACAAUGGUUUUUCCCACUCUAUGGAAGCGAAAGCUGGACUUUGAAGAUGCAAAAUAGAAAAAGUAUUAAUGCUUUUGAACUUUGGUGCUGGAGAAGACUUUUGAAGAUACCAUGGACAGCCAGGAAAAGAAACAAAUGGAUCAUAGAACAAAUCAAUCCAGAAUGAUCACUCGAGGCACAAAUGACCAGGCUGAAACUACCAUACUUCGGACACAUUAUGCAAAAACCAAGCUCCCUGGAGAAGUCCAUAAUGCUGGGAAAAGCUGAAGGAAAGAGAAGAGGAUGACCAGCAGCAAGGUGGAUGGACUUGAUAACAGCAACAAUGAAUGCACCACUGAGAGACCAUAAAGGCCAAGUUGAAGACAUAUCAGCCUGGAGUGAAUCUAUCUAUGUGGUUGCUAAGAGUCGACAACGACUUGAUGAUGAUGUCGAUCCUCAUGAACACCAUAAUUUUUGAAGACUGUAGAAACCAGUGGUCUGUGUCAAGACCUCUCUUAGGCCUCAUACUCCUCAAUGAGAAAUACUUCAGUGAAUUAAGAGCAGGCUUGAUAAGUAGUCAG